rnacentral:misc_RNA from 1 species
GCGAAAUAGAACCUUAAAGAAAUAAAAACUGGUUUGCCUAUCAUGUACCGUCUAACAGGUUUGCAAUUCAAUCAGGUAAGAGCAGCCAAGUGUAUGGUUAAAAACUUCACUCAGAUCUAUGAAAAAUUAUAUAAUUGAAACAGGAAUAAAGAGCUAAGCACUGGGUUAUGCACUUGAAAUUGAACUUCACAACAAGAAGCAACUGUAUAAUAAACUCAUGGAG